ACCUGACUGCUAUCGGAUUGAUACUAAGCCAUGCGAGUCUUUGCAGUAAUGCAAGGCAUACGGCUCAGUAACACGUAGUCAACUUACCCUAUGGACGAGGAUAAUCUCGGGAAACUGAGCAUAAUACUCGAUAGAUCAUAAUGCCUGGAAUGGUUUAUGGUUAAAAUGAUUCGUCGCCAUAGGAUGGGACUGCGGCCUAUCAGCUUGUUGGUGAGGUAAUGGCCCACCAAGGCGAUUACAGGUACGGGCUCUGAGAGGAGAAGCCCGGAGAUGGGUACUGAGACAAGGACCCAGGCCCUAUGGGGCGCAGCAGGCGAGAAAACUUUGCAAUGUGCGAAAGCACGACAAGGUUAAUCCGAGUGAUUUCUGCUAAAGGAAUCUUUUGCAAGUCAUAAAACCACUAGUGAAUAAGGGGUGGGCAAGUUCUGGUGUCAGCCGCCGCGGUAAAACCAGCACCUCAAGUGGUCAGGAGGAUUAUUGGGCCUAAAGCAUCCGUAGCCGGCUCUGUAAGUUUUCGGUUAAAUCCAUGUGCUCAACGCAUGGGCUGCCGAAAAUACUGCAUAGCUAGGGAGUGGGAGAGGUAGACGGUACUCAGUAGGAAGGGGUAAAAUCCUUUGAUCUAUUGAUGACCACCUGUGGCGAAGGCGGUCUACCAGAACACGUUCGACGGUGAGGGAUGAAAGCUGGGGGAGCAAACCGGAUUAGAUACCCGGGUAGUCCCAGCUGUAAACGAUGCAGACUCGAUGAUGCAUUGGCAUAUAGCCAGUGCAGUGUCGCAGGGAAGCCGUUAAGUCUGCCGCCUGGGAAGUACGUACGCAAGUAUGAAACUUAAAGGAAUUGGCGGGGGAGCACCACAAGGGGUGAAGCCUGCGGUUC
rnacentral:rRNA from 1 species